CUAUUUCCAUUUAUGUCAGGAAGAAUUGGUUGAAUCUCAUAUCAUGUGAACAAAAUGGAGGUUAUAUCUAAUGUCUCAAUAGUUCUAAACUUAAUCUGUGUAUAUCCUAUGUCGGACAGCAACAUGUGAGGGACUCAUUUUCAUGUAUUGUUUAAUUCAUUAGUGGAAACCAUGUCACUUAUUCAAAAAGAGACAUUUGAAUGACUGCAAUCAUUUUCAGAUCAGGAAUGUGUCGGUUACAGGCUGCACAAACACCAGUGUACAGUAUUUUUGUGUCGUGUAAAGUCAACUGCUUUGUAUCAUGACGCCGCGUUAGCCUAGAAGUAGACCGUUCGCCCCGCAUGAAGAGGUUCGAAUUCCAGCCGCGGCAGACCUAAGUCGCUGAAACAGGUAAUGAUAUUUCCAUCGCCAAACGUUUGGCAUUAGGUGUGAAUGUCACGGGUCCUCCUCGAAGAUGACAUUUCAAAUGAAUAUCCCGUAUCAUAUUAGGUGUGACAUGCUAAAAACACUCAUUCUUCAAUGACAUAGGCGCCUGGGUCAAGGGCAUUGCACUAUAACCUAUAUGUAAACAAUGGAGGAAACUCGAACCAUGAAUUAAUAUUUCGAGAUUAAUUCGGAUAGCCCUUAUUCUGUUUGGAGGUUUGUAAUGUUUAUGCACUUCCGUGAUUAGAGAUUUGAAGGACAUGACUUUCGACGGAAAAAAAUAUUUAAAAUAUACAACGGAUAGAUAGCUGUUAUUAGAUGAUUUUAAUCAUUGAAUAAUUACCGGGAGUGAAGGGGGCGCUGAAACCAGCUGUAAAGCAGUGUAAUUAACUCGUAAUCGACAAAUACCUCUCAUGGGGUACGUAAAAGGGUACAUUGAGUUGCAAGCUUUGUUAUACAUCAUGAAUCAGUGGGAUAAGACAUUUUUAAAACGUCGAUAAAUUAGUGCUAUAUGGUUGAUUGCUUGUUUGAUGUUUUUCGCCACACUCAACAAUUUUUCAGUUAUCUGGCUCGCGCCGGUAAGUGAGAAAGUUUCCCAGUUUACUAUCGGAAGGUCGGUGGUCUCUUCUCAGGUACAUUGUAUGUGGAUUCUCUCUUCCGCCAAUAAAAAAUGGGCGCCACCAUAUAACUGAAAAAUUGUUGAGUGUGGCGGAAAACAUCAAUCAAUCAUAUGAAUGGUGUUUACAUCUCUCAACUGAUUCGAUACGCAAGAGCUUCUUCUACGUAUGGUCAAUUCGUAAAUCGAAGCAGGCUACUGACAAACAAGUUGAUGGUGCAGGGGUUCCGACAGUCUCGCAAACUCUAUGGUUGUUAUAACGAUCUACUUUGCCAGUACAACCUGUCAUUGGGUUAAAUGCUGUCUGACGUGUUACAUACUGAUUGUUUGACCGUUCCUAUAAGCAAUACCAAAUAGAUAGCUGCGUAAAUACGGACCUCUGGACAUAUAGAAGGUGGGAUCAGGUGCCUAGGAGGAGUAAACAUCCCCUGUCGACCGGUCACACCCGCCGUGAGCCCUGUAUCUUGAUCAGGUAAACGGCGUUAUCUGUAGUCAAAAUCAGUGUGCCAAGAACGGCCUAACGAUCAUAGAAUUUGCGAAAUCCCGACUUUAAACGAGACUGUUCAAACCCUUGCACCAAUAAUGAAGAAUACAACUAUUUAGCUUGUGAGCUCAAUUGCGCAGGAUGUAUUGGUCCAAUACUAUGUCCAUUGAUGCCCCAUUUAGUUGAAAAUAUUUGUGUCCAUUGGAAUUUUCAAAGAGAUCGACAGGGACUACAUUUUGCGGAGGAAGGAUCGUUUAAUUGAAAAGAUUUAAAUAGGCACGAAUUUACAAUUUCUGUUUUAUCAAUGAAAGGCGAAGACAAAGAACAGUGAUCAAUCUCAUGAAAGAUGAAAAUAACAAACAGUGAUCAAUCUCCUAACUCCUAUAAGCAAUAUAAAAUAGAGAGUUUGGCAAACACGGACCCCUGAACAUAUUAGAUGUUGGAUCAGGUGCCUAGGAGGAGUAAAAAUCCCGUCGACUGCCAAAGCCGUCGUCAUCCCUAUAUCUUAAUCAGAACACUGAUGGGAAGUCUAAAGAAGAAGGGAUGGCAUUGGCUAUAUACCGCCGAGAUUUUUUCUUCUUCAUUUUUUUCAACUUUCAUAUCAUGCUUAAUUAUUCUUUUCAUUUAUACAACUAGGAUGUUCUUCUAAUCCCACUUACAUGAAAAUGACGUAAUAUUUUAUUAUUUUAUUAUUAAGAUGAGUUGUUUAGCGGAAUCUGUUGAUUAAAAAUAAAUUAUGAAUAAACCAUUUUACGUUCCAUUUUAAAAUGAAAAAUAUUGAUGUACAAUUUUAGAAAUUGGCAUUACUCCUACCAUCACAUAUGCAGGGAUUUUGUUUAUUUUCUUUCGUACCAUUUCAUCAAUCCCCCAAACUUUUUUUGGAACAGGAAAUUGCAUUUAAGAUACACGAUUGAAAGUGAAUGUUUUACGGAUGUUUUUAUAUAUAUUAGAUUUCCAUGAAAGCGUCGAAUUUCCUGGCCAUUUGGGAGAUAUUGGUACUAGGAAUAUGCUGUACUGGUUAUAUCCUACACAACAACAGGUGUACAGAAUGUGAAACAGGAACGAGAGGAAUAAACUGUAGUAAAACAUGUCCAGAUGGAUAUUACGGCAGACUGUGUCAAGAAGUGUGUCCUACAGAUUGUAAAGGAACAUGCAACAAGGUCAACGGAAGCUGUCCGGAUGAAGACGACAGUCAUGUCAGUGUGAAAAUCGACAGACCCCAUUCUACAUAUGAAAGUGUCACAUGUAGAUGCACAGGUAUUCAAAAUAUGUGCCAUGAUCGCUUUGAAUACGCAACCUCCAGAGCGUUUACAACAUAAUUAUUUUGUUCUAUGGUUAUUUCAAUUAUACACAAAUAUCUGUCUACAGGUGUAUUGUACCUGUAGAAAUCAUGGUUGAUAAUCUGUAGACGCGUGGGUCGAAACAUCUCUUUAUAUUACGAACAAUCGAUUCGAUUCAAAUUCUAUAAAGAUCCCUCGAACACCUGAACGUACUGAAACAAGUACAAUAUGUACCAAUAAAUUUAUUUAGGUAGUACAUCGGAUUCAUGGAAUAUUACAAAUAUAUCAUAUGCCAUCAUACCAACGUAAUAAUUGAAACUUUCAAAAUUAGUGAAAGUAUUAUGAAAAUAACGUUUGUUCAAUUGUAUACGGGUAACAGCUUGCACUCUUGUCCAACAGAUCGACUGUUGCCCAAGACCCCUGUCAACAACUACCCAUAUAUAGAUAAUUAGAUAUAUUCAUAUCACUCAAUCACUUUAAAAUGCUAUGAUUGAACAAGAUUCAAAACUUUAUUCAUGUUAGAUUCUUGGAAAGUAGUUAACAUUAAUUUUGAAUUCUUUGAAAUUAUUAUUUAAACAAUAAACAAUGAUAAUCAACACAUGCAUUGUUCUUUUUCUAACUCCAUCAAAUCGAAACGUUACAAAAUAUGCUAAUAAUAAAAUCAGAAUCGAUUUGGGUUUUUUUCCAGAAAUUGUUAGUCAAGGGGGGGGGGCUUAAAUGUAACUUGCUUUUUAAGAAUUAUUUCCUAUUUAUAAAGCGAUGUCCAGUCUUACGCGCACGUGUUCAUGUACAUGAUGUUCCACUUUAGUGAUAUGAAGGGGUAGAUUAUGUUUUCAUGAUAACUAAAAUCUGCUGUCAGGGUAAGUAAAUCUUUGUUAUAAAUACUAUAAAAGCUGAACAUUAUGUAAAAUUAUAUGCAUUUAACUUGCUUUGCUGCAUAUUUUAAAUAUAGAAACGCUACAGUUUAGUAGUUAUUUCCAAUUGUAUCAGGGAGUUUUUGUCACAUAUGUGUAGUUAAGUCACUUUCCAUCUUAGAAUGACCUUGAUGUCAGAAACUGCUUAUGUUCAGCAAUCACCAUUCCCGUGUUCGAGUAUUUGACGAUUGCGUCUGAAACUAUGGCGGUUUAUACGAAAUGCUUAUUGCAGUGAAUGUCCGCUGGUGGCAACCCGGAGGGCGAGGUUUACCCAAUGGCGUAACAAUCUGACUCUAUGUAGAGGGCGGAGUAUGACCUUCACACGAGAUACAAAUAUGGGCGUGCAUGGUGGAUAUGUGGUGCACCCUAGUAUUCACGGACAAUUCCGUUUCAUUGAUCGGUCGUUUUCUUUUGUAUAUUUGUAUAUAUAUCUACUCUGUUUUAUAUGAAAUUGUAAAUAGUUAAACGAAA